CGACGUAGAUAAAUUUGCGAGUCAAAAGGCGCAUACAAAUUCAUGUUUUGCGCUGCAAAAUACAUUUCUCGCGGGCGAUUCAUUGUUUUACUUCCGUUUUUUCCGUGUCCAUGAGUAUCGUGAUAUCGCGCCGUUACGAAAGUAUGACACCGAUUUGUUUUGCUUAAGUUCGCGAGAAAAAAACCUCGACGAGUGUACCGCUUAAUGUGCCGGGAAAACAGUGAUACACCAUUUUAUUGCCGACAGCUCGGCGGAAUUUAGAGUAGGAGUGGCGAUGCCAGAUAUACACCGCCGUAUCAUCAUCUCCCUGACAUUUUUAUUAAGCACGCGGAAACAAAGAGUCUUUAUUCCGUCCGGGGGGUUAAAUUUUUCACGAUUUUAAAUUCAAAUUACUCCCAUAUCUAAAACAGUCUAUAUUUUCGUUUUACGCGAUUCGCUCAGAUUAGAGCACCUCCGACAAUAGCGAAGAUUAUAUGCUAGUUACGCUAUUAGAAUCUCGAACGUUGAAACAUGCUCUUUAAAUUGUAAUCAGUGUAUUAUCACUGAUUUGCAGUGGUAUACUUGUAGCUGUGUCAAUUAAUGAGUAUUCCACUGUCUUUUAGUAAUUUUUACUUUAGAAUUAGUAUAAUUACUGAAAGAUCAGUGUAUUUAUUUCACUAAUUGAGAAGUUAUAAGUAUAUCACUAAAAAUCUGUGUAUUUUCACUGAUUUCACUAAUUUUUCACUUGAUUGUAAUUUAAAGAGUGCCGAUGCAUCAUAAUUGCUGACGUUAUACCAUAUAUUUUGAAACGUACUUCUAAAAAUCAUUUAAUGACCAAACGAAUAACAAGCAACGCAAACUUCUCGUUAAAUACUAAAAUAGAAUUUACAAAAUUUUUUUUAGUCGUUAUCCAAUCCAAAGAGUUUAUUUUAAUACGGUGCAAAAUUACCUUUGCGAAAUCAGAAUAAUGUACCUUCAAUGCGAAGUUUUCCCGCGAUAUCCGAGUAAAAAUAUUCACCGAUGGCGGUUGUUCUCGAAUCGAACGCAUCGGGCUACACCAAGCCCGGCGCAUUUUAUUCGAUUCUUUUUUGUUUUUUUUUUUUAUAGAAAAAUUGUUUUGCGCUAGAGAGAACGAUUUCAAAAUUCCAAUCGGUCGUAGUGAGGAAACGCGACUGGGUAUCAGGAAUGUGUAUAUGUAUGUGUGUGUGCCUAUGUGUGUGCAGGUACGGGGGAUGAUUUCAAUGCGGAAAACAGGGUGUGGCGCGUGAGAGCUGGCUCACCUGAAACAACACAACGUUUUCAGAUCGCUGAUCCCAUAAGCGUCCACGUUUGAUCCCUCUGUUGUUUUGUCGAGCGCGCGCUCUCCCGCCCGUUUAAUUCGCGAAAAACUGUAGCAACGUUCUUCGAUUCUGAGAGGAAGCAUCGCGUGAGGUAUCCAAACCGGUCGUGACACGUUUUACAUCGAUACGUCUUUAUAUAUGGUUAUAAAAUACUUGCAAGUAUUUUAUACAAACUGCAAGUAUAAUCCUCGAAUAUUUUUACGUAGAUCUCUGUACAAUUCGUAAGUUUUCCAAUUUGUAAAUUCGUUGUUGCAUAAUGCAAACUAAGUUUCUAGUUGAAUAUUAUACGUAAUUAAAUUUUCCACGAUAACAUGAAAAUACUCUUGAUUCAUUUGAAGCGCGAGUCGUUAAAAAAUUUUUUUUCUAAAAUCAUCACGUUUCCCCAUUGCGUCGAGGAAAUAAAAAAAUUGAUUGAGGGAGAAAAGGAACGUGACGUUGGACGAAACUCGUGUACAAUGGUGGAGAUAUAUCGUGUCGUAAUAUGCAAAGCGGAUCGGAUGUACCCAGCGGGGGGUGAAAGCGGGAGCCAAGGGGUGAUUAGCGGGACAAAAGCCGGCGCCGCUACAAGUGGAACCAAAUUGGUAGAAAAUUGAUAAUCAACCGCCAAUAUCAACCUCCAUCGGGAGCCGGCGGUCUUCGUACUUGAGAAGAGGUCGGAGGGGAAACAUUGUGGAGAAAAUAUAUAUUUAUCUAUACCAAAAAAUAAUACAUUUGUUGUAUAAAAAAAUUUUUUUUUAAAUACAUGUAAAAAUCCUUUUUGUUUCUAAAUAAAAUUUUAAAAACAAAAUAUUUAAUUAAAUGUAAAAAAAUUUAUGUAAUAUCUUUUUGGACACACAUUUCUCUCUAGAUGUACAAUUAAUAAAAAUCAGAAAAAAUUAUGAACACGUAAUUAAUAGUUAGCGAUAUUUAAGAUUGGCGAAAAGUAAAGCAAGUAUCUUCGCCCUAUUAUUAAUUAGCAGUCGUGAGUUAGAGUCUCGUGCGGGCGUGUUGUGAAUUUUAAGCGCAUCGAGAGUAUUAUUUCAGAGAGACUUAAACCGACCACGUAACAUCGUCAGAAAACCGUUAAGACCAACCACAAUCGACGGAGGAGGGAAAAAUUUGAAAGGAAAAAUAAAAAGGGAUCGAAUACGUCGCGCGCAAGAGGCACUUCGUCGAAGCGAACCGCGCGGUCGUUCUGGUGUGAAUGGAACACGUGUACGGUGUCACAUCUAUCUGAAAAGUUCAUCGUUACCGAAGGACCCUCUCAAAGAGUUUUCUAGAAUGCGAGCUAACUCGACGGGCACACGGCGCGUCGCGAGUGUGUAAUCGAAAGAAUCGUAGAGCACUUUUCUCAUGCAAAUAUCCGACUGAUGCGGGACAUGGGGUGCGAGGAGACGGCAAACUUUUUCUUUGGUCCGCUUAAAACUCCCAACUUAGAUCCUUUUAAAUUUAAAUGCUUUCCCCGCCGUCGCCAUUCGUGGGCCCGCUUGCACGUUUUACCGUCUCGAGAUGGCUCGUGAAGGUGAAGCAGAUAGUAAUAAAGACUAGCGCGGCAAGAGAGAUGAGGGGCGCGAACAGAUCGGCUGGCGAAAGUCAAGAAGAAGUAACAGAGCAUCCGAUAAUCGUGAAGAACGGAGGCGACGAUCGCAAAAUAGAGAAAAGCCGGAAAAGGCGAUAAUUCCGCAAGGCAGGCAACCGCAAGAGGAUAUUCUUAACUUCGAGAAACGAAUUUAUUCUUCGUGCAACUUCUGUUCCGCGAUCGAGUUUAGCAAGGUAUCUCGCGCUCUUCGCGCUCGAACAAUAAAUAAAUAUUCCAACUUACUGAAAACUCUUAUCUUGCCAGCAAAAACCCUACGAUCCUAAGGCGAUAACCGACUCGCUAAUCCGCCGAUCAAAUUAAUUGGAAUGCGCACAUUUCCGCGCGCUGAUUAAAAAAAAAACGCCAGCCAAAAACAUGUCUCAGCCUCGGAACAUUAAUCAAGAACAAGAUAAAAAGAUAAUAUUAAGGCUAGUCGGCAACAUUGGUCGACAUCAAAGAACCUCCCCUUUUCUUCCUCGUUUACAGUGGCGUACUUAGGAUUUUUAGAUUCUUAUGGAAACCUUAUUUUAUUCUAGUUAACGUGAAAAGUGGUGAUUUUAGAUUUUUAUUUCCUAUUAUUAAUAUUUUAUAUAACAGUGCCGAGAAAUUAAAAUUAAAAUCUAAUAUAAUUUUAUAACCUAAUAUAAUUUUAAUAAAUCAAGCUGCAGCUAAAGCUUUUAAAAUAAAUAUUAUUGCACAAUAUGUCAUAAUAGUAUCAAUCUAACAGUUAAAUCAAUAUGUGAAUAAAAUUUUAAUUUAAUGAUUCUGGCAUAUUUUCUGUAUCCGAUUGUUUUUUUUUUCCUUUUUCUAUGCCGAGAAGAGACUCGCUCGGAAUGUGUUUUGCUUAUUUCUUCCUCGUCGCUGUUUAUAUCUCGCCGUCAGGCUACGGGCCUGAUCGAGCUCGCUUCCCUUCGCCGACGUGAUCGUUUUAGAAUCCUCGGCGGCACCUGCCGUGCAACCUGGGGCAGCGCACACCGCACGUAAGUAUAUAUGCGAGUAAGUAUACAUUUAGUCCCCUCGUGUGCAGGCUGCGUGCCGCGCGGAGAGGCCGCGCGGCUACGGUUAUUACACGCGUCACGCGGCAUUCCGUACGGUCACGCACUCUCCCUUCCUCCUCCCUCCUCCUUCCUCCCACGGAAGCCCGCCGAAGGAGGGACCCUUAUCGUCACCCUCUAUCUUGUCAGCCAUACGCAACCCCAUUAAACCACUUGCGAUGUGCCUUACACGACUCCAAGAGCCGUCGUUGCCAUCCGUUCCGAGGAACAAGACCUGUACACGAAGUUCUAAACUGUGUUCUAUUCCAAUUCUCUACUUCGCGAUUCGAGCUGGGAAAUGUAAGGCAACAUCUAUUGAAGUUUCACGAGACACUAAAGUGAUUUUUCAAUAAAUCACAUUUUCUUUAGACAGUAAUUAUUUUUAUGCGUAAUCCCAAAAUGAAAUAAAUGUACGAAAAAUUAUGAUUGUAAAUAAGAAAAAUAUUUCGAGGGAUUAACGAAGAUGAAAUAAAAAAUCGCAAUUGUUUAAACGUUUAUGAAAAAGAAAAUUAUAUUGCCAUAAAAUAGUUCACUCGCUAUAUAUCGUUCCUCUCUUUAUACUCGCGCACAAGUGAAAAAAUUAAGAUCGACACCUGCGUCGCCUCGGACACAACUUUGGCAAGAUAGAAAUCGAAUGAAACUUCUUUUCAUACCGUUUCUUUUCACACUAAAAGAACUUUGCUUACGGAACCUGCAUAAUUUCAGAACAAUUGUUUGAUGUAUUCAAUGAAAAAGGAUAUUUUAUUUCGUGUUUUCCGCGAUCAUCUAUCAAUUCCGAAUAGAAUGAGAUAAUUUCUUUUAGAAUUAGUUUCAAAUCUUACUAAUCUUAAUCGUUCUAUCACCUCGCCUUUGAAUUUCUUUCCUAAAUAAUUAUAUAAAUUUUUCUCUUUUAAAUUAUAACUUCUUCGAAGAGUCACGCGAAUUUAAUAUGAAAACAUGAUCGAUGAAGAUUUUCGAUCAUUUUUUUAUAAGUUCGUAAUUUUAUGAAUUUUAUUCCUACUUCGGUGGAAUUUCUGCAAAAAAAUAUGUCUGUUCAAGCACGUUCUCGUCAGUAGCCAGAGUCACAACCGGAACGUGUCGAAGAGCCGCAAUAUCCCUCGAAUAUCAUGCCUCUAAAAGAUCUCCUCGCCCCGAAUAAACUCGUCCGAUGAAAUUUCCGAGUUACCACGCGCGGCGUGAGCAAUUCCGUCGAGCUAUCGGCCGCCAAUAUCAAAAGCAAAUGUCGGGAAACGGACGGACGGGCGGAUAGACGGACUGACGAACGAACGGACGAACGAACGAACGAACGAACGAACGAACGAUCUCCAGCAUCCAUCGAGAGGGAACAAGCGGGGGCGCGAGUCAAGGAAAUUUCCUCGACCGAGAAAAAGAAGAUGGUCGAUCUCCGUGGAGGAGAACGACGGUGGAACAGACACGAUAUAGUCGCUGAUAGGCGUACAUAUAUAUAUGUAUGUAUGUAUGUACGUAAGUACAUACAUAUAUACGUACGUACGUACGUACGUACGCCUCUCUUUGAUAUAGUGCGCGAAAUCGUAGCGUCUUGAGGAGGCGGAAGGCGGAGAGAAGAACCACCGCCGUUAUCAGCUCGCGGCGGGAUUGGCCGAGCAGGGGGACGCGGGGCUCCGUCGGCGGCCAAUGGCGUUCUGGUCUCGGCUUUUCAAGGAUUCUGCCCCCCGAAAUCCGGCGUGUCCUGUGCGCGACGUACACGCGCGCGCGAGCGAGCGAGCAAGCAAGCCCGUCCUCGAUGUACAACGAAACUCGAACGACUUUUCCAACCCCCCUCCACCCCCCCGUACUACAUACACGCACAUACAUCAAGGCCGCUGCCCACCGGUCGCCAGGAUUCACCGUCGUCGACGACGGUCGGUUGUCCAGCUAUUUCGUAUAUUCCACCCUCUGCCAACCACCCUACGACGACCUCGUCCGUCGCUCUCCAUCCGGUCCCGUCCUUCCUUUUUCUUGCGAAGCAUCUCUCCAGGAAGCAUCUCCGAUUCGCGCCACAACGAUCCCCGCUUUUUCUCCGUUUUCUGGGAUUUCUCGAGAAAACUCGAGGGGCCGAUAAUGGUGGUGAGGUAUUACGGAAGAAAGAAAACUCGUCCUGUGUAGCUUCCACAUAAUUUCGGGAUAACGCGAAUAGAGUUUAUAAAAUUUUAUAAAUUCUCUUGUACACAUAAUUGCUUCUGUUGAUAAUAGUGGCUUGUUCUUGCCAAGAAUCAAGGGACACUCGAUAUCCUCUUUAAUGAAUAAAGAAAGUAUUUUUUCGCAUCUUCUAUUCAUUGUCAGUGUACAUAACACACAUAAUACUAUUAAAAAAUAUUGAUACUUGCUUUGAAUACACUUACUUUAAUAGAGAUGUUAUUUAAAAUUUUGAAAUGCUCGAUUUGAAACUUAUUAAUAUUAGGCACAUUUAAUAUUGCAAAAUAAAGAUCGCGAUAAUAUGAAGUGACGGAAAAAAUCAUUUAAAUUACGUUAAUUCUUGUAAAUUGUCGAAAAGAAUUUACACUAAAGGGUUUGAUAUCGUUUCUGAAGUUGUGCAAUUUUCUGUACGUAUACAACGAAAUGGGUAGAUAAACAAUAUUAUAUGUUUGUCGUUUAAGAAGCCAGGAAAACUCGCGGAGCGAUAUAAAGGAGACGAGGCCAAAAAUCGCAGGCUCCCACUUGAAGGCACUCUCCGCCAGUUGCCGCAACUGUUUCUCCACUUGCGGAAAAGAAUUAUGAAGGCACUGCGAGUGACACCGCGAUACCGACAACAAUAUAAGAGCCACCUUUAAGGACACCCACUCUUGUCUUCUAGAGUUUCCCAGAUAUUUCCCUCGGUUUCUUUAACCGGCUUUUUAUCAGCAGUUACGGCGAAAAAGUGAAUAUAGCGAAAGAAGUGUCCUUAAUACGAUAACGCCUUGCAACGAUUUAACGAGACGACACUGACGAAGACAGAUGCCGAAAUGGAAAAACACUUUUAACCGCAUUUUUAGCAGACGACACCGUAAAACGUGACGAUACACCCGUUGAAAUGCAAUCAGAAAAAAA